rnacentral:rRNA from 1 species
UUAUGAAUUCUCCUCUGAGUGGAUUUUAUACAAAUAAAUCAAAACUUUCAACAACGGAUCUCUUGGCUCUGGCAUCGAUGAAGAACGCAGCGAAAUGCGAUAAGUAAUGUGAAUUGCAGAAUUCAGUGAAUCAUCGAAUCUUUGAACGCACAUUGCGCCCGCCAGCAUUCUGGCGGGCAU